ACCCUCUCAAAGUGGCUGUGAAAUGCGUCCUUCACUGUAUAAAGGGAAGAAUCCUUUUUCGCAUAUCACAGCCAGCUUUGAAGAGCGUCA
rnacentral:pre_miRNA from 1 species